rnacentral:rRNA from 1 species
UACGAGGGGGGCAAAUGUUGUUCGGAAUCACUGGGCGUAAAGGGAGCGUAGGCGGGUUUCUAAGUCAGGUGUUUAAUCCCGGGGCCCAACCCCGGACAGGCACUUGAAACUGGGAAUCUUGAAUAGUGGAGAGGUCAGUGGAAUUGGGGGUGUAGCGGUGGAAUGCGGUAGAGGAUCCCCAAGAACACCAGUUGCGAAGGCGGCACCUG